AAAUUAGAAAGAAAUUUGUAUUUAACAGUGAUAUAUAUGAGAGAAUUAAAAGGAUAUUAUAUAAAUUUUUACAAAAAAUCAAUAGAAAGAAAGAAGAUGAAGUUAAAAAGUGUACAGUAGCCUAGUGCACAAAAAUAAAAUCAUAGGUCACCAAAUUGAUACAUUUAAAACCACAUGAUAUUAAAACUAAAAAGUGCGAAACUAUAGGAAUGGUAUUUGAAGUUUUUUCAUAAUUUUUUUGGCAGGUAAGCUGCCUCAGCGAUAUCUGCAUGUGGGCUAGAUC
rnacentral:lncRNA from 1 species